GGAUUUAUUGGGUUUAAAGGGUUCGUAGGCGGAAAGAUAAGUCAGUGGUGAAAGCCUGUGGCUCAACCAUAGAAUUGCCAUUGAUACUGUCUUUCUUGAGUACAAAUGAAGUGGGCGGAAUGUGUCGUGUAGCGGUGAAAUGCUUAGAUAUGACACAGAACACCGAUUGCGAAGGCAGCUCACUAAAUUGUAACUGACGCUGAGGAACGAAAGCGUGGGGAGCGAACAGGAUUAGAUACCCUGGUAGUCCACGCCGUAAACGAUGAUCACUCGAUAUUGGCGAUAUAAUGUCAGUGUCCAAGCGAAAGUGUUAAGUGAUCCACCUGG
rnacentral:rRNA from 1 species